GCCCGCCUCUCCCUUCCCCGCCAGUUUUGAUCAACCCGCACACCUCCCGCUCUCUAGGGUUCCACGGUCCCACCUGUGUCAUCACCUCUCCUAUCCAAUAUACCACCUCAUCGUUGUCUCACACGUUCCUUCCCAACUCCACAGUGUAGCCUCUUCGCGACAUGAUCUAGAUCCAAGUAAUAUAAGUAUUCUUCCAACCCUGCAAUAUCAUCUCCGCCCACACUCCUCCUACAACAAUCUAUUGCUCGUGCCAAAGUGAUAUGUGUGGAUUGGCGUAACUUAGAUCAGCUCUGCUCCAUUUCCUUAGUUCUCAUGGCGUGGCUGGCUGUUGCCUUGUGCAGUUUGUUCAUCGUGGGUCUGGUGAAGGAAGGCAUCAACAUGGAGGAGGAAUACUUGGAGAUCGGCAUAUCAGUUAUUUUACAUUACGAUUAGUUUUAUUUUAUUGAUUUGACAAAGUGCUAGAUCUUAAAAUACACGCAAUCUAGUCUUGGAGAUUUGGUUAAAAAAAGUGGGUGUCUUGGAAUAGAUUUAUUUUCUUCCUUAUGCUUUGGAAUGUCAAGUUGGGAGUAUCAUGUAGUCGUUUGAUGUUACAUAAUUUCUUCAGUUUGGUAUAGGAAAAUAAAAACAUUGUUAAAGCGAUUUUUUUCCUAUGAACUCCAUUUGUUGAUCUUAUGAAUCAACAAAUGAAUUGAAUUAGUCUUGAUGAUAGUAGCAUAUAGUUGUUAUCAUGAUUUAUUUUUAGUAAACAGAGUGUUCUUUUUAGGCAGUCCAUGGGACAUGCUUUAGCUUCUAUCCUCUUCUUUUAUGUGCAACUCGAAGGAGAAGCCCACUCUUGGGUAAGACUCUUGUGCUUAUACGAUAAAGCUCGCGUGCAAUGUGCCUUAGGCUAUUUAGUAUUGUCCUUUCGGCUGCCCUAUAUAGGUAGUUCAACAUGGUUCUUGUGAAAGAAAGGGAUCGACAUGGAGGAGGGAAACCUAGAGAUUGGCAUAGCAGUUCUUUUGCAUGAUGAUUAGUCUUAUUUUAUUGAUCUAACAAAGUGCUAGAUCUUCAAAUACACACAAUACGGUCCUAAAGAUCUGAUUAAAAAAGUGGGAGUCUUGGAAUAUCAUUCAAUUUCUUCCUUAGGAUUCAGAAUGUUGAGUUGGGAGUAUAUAUCACGUGGUCAUUUGAGGUUAUAGACUUUUGUCUAUUUGGUACAGGAAAAUAAAAACAUUGUUAAAGCAGGAUUUUUUUAUGAACUCUAUUUUUUGAUCUUAUGAAUUGACAAAUGAAUUGAAUUCAUGUUCAUCACAUUAUCAUAUAGUUGUUGUCAUGAUUUAUAUUUAGUAAAUAGAGUGUUCUUAUUAGGCGAUCCAUGGGACAGGCUUUAACUUCUAUCCUCUUCUUGUUAGAAUUAUAGGCAUUUUCCAUAUCAUUUUAAUUUCAUAAAUUAACAUUAUGAUGAUGACAUAUAAAAGAUAAUUAAUCAUAUAAAAUCGUGAUACCAAAUAUAUCCAUAACAAUAUGGAUCAUGAGAACAUAAAGCAUAUGAAUCAUAUAAAUAUAAUAAGCAUAUAAACAUGGUACAUGUAUUAUGAUGAAACAACUGAAAAUAAACAGAUAGCAACAUAAAUAGCAUGACUCUAAAAUUAAAACGAACAGAUAUAACAUAUUAUAAUAUGACAGAACAGAUGAGAUAAAUUCAUGACUACAUAUGAAACAACAGAGGUGAAUAUAUGAAACAUAUAUAAUCUGCAGAACGCAAACAGUAAGGAGAUAAAUUGAUCAUACCCUCCCAUGCGCUCUGAGGAUCCAGAUCCUUGUCCAGCUUCUCUUGUCAUGUCGCGCAGGAAGAAGAAGAUGUUUUGGCCAGUCGCGUAGACGCUCCCCAAAAACCUAAUUGUCGAUCCCCCGUGCAAGGUCUCGAACGGCACCAGCUUCGGAGGCAUCUGCCCUCUCGCUUCUCUGUGCGCGCAGAGUUACAAGAUGGAUACACCCACACUUGCGGCUGGACUGUGAUUCUGAAGGGUUCUGCUCUCGUAUCCCAAAUGACAGGGGUUCUCCCCUACUUAACCUUUCGCGGAAGGAAGAUGAAGGAGAAUGGUCGCAUGCGGCACGCCAAGAGACGGGCAGCUAAAGGAUAAGGGUCUCGCAUGUGGCACGCCAAGAGACGGGCAAGAGUUGAAACUCCCGCGGUUAAUGAGUGCUAAAAAUUAACACAACCACACCACACACGCCCGCUCGCUGCCUGCCUGCCUGCCUGCCUCGCCACGCCACGCCACGCCCAGCCCGAGCCUGGCCCGGCUGGCGGCGGCGGCGCGCGCGCGUGUGUGGCACGCCCUUGUACGUUUCUUGACUUCUCAAAUUAAGUGGAAUAAUUCCCACCAUAUAAGUCAAGCCAACGACCCUUGGACUUCCAAUAUGGUACUAUUGGUAUUCUCCACCAUUACACACCAUAGAGUUUAUUGAAUAAAUGGGCCAAGCCCAUAAAAGAUCCAACAAUCCCCACCAAACUCUAGGGUUUGUAAUGAUGAAGUAUCAGGAUCACAAUCCUUUGAUAUACCAGUGUUUCGAUGGAGACUGUUAAGUUGAACAUCCAUCUAGAAUAAGAGUUUCACUCAUUCACAACUGAACAAUGGACUAAGCCUUGAAUUGACAGUUUUGUGCGAAGUGAGAUUCACUCAAAUCCUUUGCUGAUACUAGGCUGCAAAAGGGUAUUCCCGCUAUUUAGAAGCAUAUAAGUCACACUUCAGUGCUUUCAUGAGUAUUUAGGGAGUCUGACUCAUAUAGGUGUAUUCCUCAGAAGAUGUUCUGUAGGACAACAUCUCACCUUUAUAAGACUCUUGGAAUACAUUAAGGUAAAUACCAUCAUGCCUUACAGAUAGGAAAUAUGUGCAUAAGAAAUAAGUUAAGGAAGUGAUCUUUCCUCACAACCUACUCCUAGCUUGUUUCUCCACUCUACUUCACGGGAUCUCCGAUCACAUAGAGCAGGCUACCACUAGAGUAGAUUUCACAUGGGUCUCAUACCCAUUUCUCUCGAUGCACUUUCUAUCACAUUGUGUGACAGACCCUUAGUGAAUUGAUCUGCCAGAUUAUUAGAUGUGUGGACAUAAUCCACCGUUAUAACUCCGGAGUUUUUCAGCUUUCUGACAGAUUUCAAUCUUCUCUUAACAUGCCUUGUAGACUUCAUGUUAUUCCUAGAACUGUUAACCUUUGUAAUCAUCGUUUGGUUGUCACAGUUCAUGGAAAUAGCCGGUAUCAGUUUUUCAACUACCGGUAAAUCCAAUAGGAAAUCACGAAGCCACUCGGCCUCAGCCCCAGCAGUGUCUAAUGUUGUGAGUUCUGCUUCCAUUGUAGACUUCGUUAAGAUAGUCUGCUUGCAAGACUUCCAGGAAACAACGCCACCUCCAAACAGAAACACAUAUCCGCUUGUGGCAUAAAGCUCAUCAGCAUCAGAAAUCCAGUUGGCAUCACAAUAGCCUUCCAACACUUUUGGGUUUCUAGUAUAAUGAAUACCGUAUGUCAUAGUACCUUUCAAAUAUCGCAACACUCUCUCAAGAGCACGCCAGUGAUCAUCUCCUGGUUUUGACACAAACCGACUCAGCUUACUCACAUCAUAUGAGAUGUCCAGCCUUGUUGCACUUGCAAGGUACAUGAGCGAGCCAAUGAUCUAGGAGUAUGUCAAUUGAUCCCUUGCUAUUCUCUGAUUCUUUCUCAAUAGCAUGCUAGGGUCAUAAGGUGUUGGAGCAGGAUCACAGUCACUAAAACCAAAGCGACUCAAUACCUUUUCCACAUAAUGAGAUUGUAACAAAGUUACCCCACCAUCACCUUCUCUAACAAGCUUGAUGUUUAGAAUGACAUCAGCUUCUCCCAAAUCUUUCAUUUCGAAAUUGCUCGAUAGAAGAUUUUUAACUUCCUCAAUCACAUUGAGAUUUGAUCCAAAGAUGAAGAUGUCAUCAACAUAAAGGCACAACAUAACAGACUCACCCCCACCAUACUGAUAAUACACACACGUGUCAGAUUCAUUUACAGCAAAACCAGCAGUUGUAAGAGUAUUAUCAAACUUUUUAUGCCAGUGCUUAGGUGCUUGUUUUAGGCCAUACAAUGAUUUUAUCAACCUGCACACCUUGUUCUCUUGACCAUCUGCAAUGAACCCUUCUGGCUGAUCCAUGUAGAUCUCCUCAUCCAACUCUCCAUUUAGGAAAGUUGUCUUAACAUCCAUCUGAUGAAUGAUAAGACCAUAAGAGGAUGCCACAGCUAUUAAUGUGUGAAUAGUAGUGUCGGGGACCAUAAUUAGGGGUACCCUCAAGGCUCCUAAUUCUCAGCUGGUAACCCCCAUCAGCAUAAAGCUGCUAAGGCCUGAUGGGUGCGAUUAAGUCAGGGAUCAGUCCGUUCGAGCGACUCGAUCACGCCUCGCCCGAGACUAGCCUCGGACAAGGGCAGCCGACCCCGGAGGAUUUCCGUCUCGCCCGAGGCCCCCCUCCGACGGAGAACAUAUUUCCGGCUUGCCCGAGGCCCUGCCUUCGCUAAGAAGCAACCCUGACCAAAUCGUCGCACCGACCGACCAAAUCGCAGGAGCAUUUAAUGCAAAGGUGGCCUGACACCCUUAUCCUGGCAUGCGCCCCCCGGCAGAGCCGAAGUGACCGCCGUCACUUCGCCGCUCCACUGACCGGCCUGACAGAAGGACAGCGCCGCCUGCGCCGCGCCGACUGCAGUGCCACUUGACAGAGUGAGGCUGACAGGCAGUCAGGUCCUGCAGAAGGCACCACAGGAAACUCUGCUCCGCCCGACCCAGGGCUCGGACUCAGGCUCAGCCCCGGAAGAUGGCGAACUCCGCUCCGCCCGACCUAGGGCUCGGACUCGGGCUAAGUCCCGGAAGACGGCGAACUCCGCUCCGCCCGACCCAGGGCUCGGACUCGGACUAAGUCCCGGAAGACGGCGAACUCCGCUCCGCCCGACCCAGGGCUCGGACUCGGGCUAAGUCCCAGAAGACGGCGAACUCCGCUCCGCCCGACCCAGGGCUCGGACUCGAGCUAAGUCCUGGAAGACGGCGAACUCCGCUCCGCCCGACCCAGGGCUCGGACUCGGGCUAAGUCCCGGAAGACGGCGAACUCCGCUCCGCCCGACCCCAGGGCUCGGACUCCGCCCUGGCCUCAGACGACGACCUCCGCCUCGCCCAACCAGGGGCUCGGACUCAGCCUCGGCCACGGAAGACAGACUCGACCUCAGCUUCGGAGGAGCUUCCACCUCGCCCAACCUAGGGCGCAGACCAGCCACGUCAACGGGAGGCGCCAUCAUCACCCUACCCCGAGCUGACUCGGGCCGCAGGAAACAAGACCGGCAUCCCAUCUGGCUAGCUCCGCCGGAUAGGCAAUGAUGGCGUCCUGCAUGCUCUGUGACGACGGCAGCUCUCAGCCCCCUUACGGAAGCAAGAGGACAUCAGCAAGGACCCAACCGCUCCGACAGCUGUCCCUCCGCCAGGCUCCAUCGCUCCUCCGACGGCCACGACAUCACACCAGCUGGGUGCCAAAACCUCUCCGGCUGCCACGACGGCAUGUACUCAGGGCGCUAGCUCUCCCCCGCUAGACACGUAGCACUCUGCUACACUCCCAUUGUACGCCUGGAUCCUCUCCUUACGCCUAUAAAAGGAAGGACCAGGGCCCUCUUAGAGAGGGUUGGCCGCGCGGGGACGAGGACGAGACAGGCGCUCUCUUGGGGCCGCUCGCUUCCCUCUCCCGCGUGGACGCUUGUAACCCCCUACUGCAAGCGCACCCGACCUGGGCGCGGGACGAACACGAAGGUCGCGGGAUUCCCACCUCUCUCACGCCGGUCUCUGGCCGCCUCGCUCCUCCCCCCUUCGCGCUCGCCCUCGCGCUCGACCCAUCUGGGCUGGGGCACGCGGCGACACUCACUCGUCGGCCCAAGGGACCCCCCGGUCUCGGAACGCUGACAGUUGGCGCGCCAGGUAGGGGCCUGCUGCGUGUUGACGAACAGCUUCCCAUCAAGCUCCAGAUGGGCAGUCUCCAGCAACCUCUCCAGCCCGGGAUGGUGCUCCGUUUCGGGAGUCUUGAGUUCAUGUCCUUCGACGGCAGCUAUGACAUGAUACUCCUUCCCCCGCCGUGCGACAACGACAAUGGCGGCCGACAGCCCGCCCGCCGGCGGCGGAAUCGACGACGUCUUCCCCGCGUGGUGGGAGAACAACAUUCGAGCUCACCCCGUCCUCUCCCCCGUCGACGGAGGAGGAGGCGGGGCAACCAAGGCCAAGCAGGAGGCAGCGCCUCAUCGGCUGUCGAGCGAGUCGACAGCGCCAGCACCCCAACGAGGGGCGCACCGGACAUCGACCUCGCGUUUGAGACGAAGACGAGCAUCGUCUCCCCGCGACACGCCGAUCCCGAGCAAGCGGACGACGCCAGCGCGCUCGCGGAGAGCUUGCUGGACGUCACCCUCGUACCUGAGACGACGGCGCAGUCAGUCCCCGACGUGACUUUAUCGCCGCUCGUCGACCAAAAGGUACCGACCGAUUCCCAUCCUACGUCAUUUGGAUUCAGCCUCAACCCGCCUAGCGAUCUCGCUUUGGCGGACGCUCUCGUAGGGGCGAGUCCAAACCCUCUGGGGUUUCGCAUGUGGUCUCCUUGGGGCCGGCUGACGGACGUCUCGACCUACGGGCCCUCUGGGUCCGAGGAAGACGACGAGCCCAGCAUCUGUUGGGAUUUCUCUGUACUUGGCAACCCUAGUGCCAUGCGGGACUUUAUGACCGCAUAUGACUACUGCCUCUCCGGCUGUUCCGACGGUAGCCGCAGCCUCGACGACGAGGACUGCGGCCCAAGCCGCGAAUGUUUCCACGUCGAUCUAGGGGGUCCCUCCGAAGGCAAUCUUCUCGGCAUGCCGGAGGACGGUGAUCCCCUAGGCCGGUGCCCCGCGUUGACAUCCCACGGGAGCUAGCUGUGGUCCCCGUUCCGGCGGGGGGUCACGGCCCACAGCUCGAGCAAAUCCGCGGGGUGCAGGCCAGGCUCGACGAGGGAGCAGGAGCGCUUGAGCCGAUCCGCCGGGACGUCGGGCAGGCAUGGGCGAACCAACCCCCGGCCGGAGAAAUACGUCAUCUGCCCCAGGGUCUCCAGCACUGCGUCACCGAUGACGUCAGGGUCAGGCCACCACCUGCGUCUAGUGGGGUCGACCAGAACCUGGCUGCAGCAGCGAUGCUCCUCCGCGCGAUGCCGGAGCCAUCCACCACCGAGGGUCGGCGAAUCCAGGGGAGCUCAAGAACCUCCUGGAAGGCGCCGCGGUCCGACGGGCCGAGAGCUCUGCCUCCCGAAGGCAGGGAUACCCCUCGGAACCCCAUGCCGCGACUUCCUGAUUCAUGCGGGAAGCCUCGGUCUACACCGGGCGCACGCGCAACACCGCGCCUGCGGCCCCGUGCCGCCUCGGCAACGAGCACCAUCAUCGCGACCGUCGGGCCCACCUCGACGAGAGGGUGCGCUGAGGCUACCACCCCAGGCGUGGGGGACGCUACGACAGUGGGGAGGAUCGGAGUCCCUCGCCCGAGCCGCCCGGUCCGCAGGCCUUCAGCCGGGCCAUCCGACGGGCACCGUUCCCGACCCGGUUCCGGCCCCCGACUACUAUCGCAAAGUACUCGGGGGAGACGAGACCGGAACUGUGGCUCGCGGACUACCGUCUGGCCUGCCAACUGGGUGGAACGGACGACGACAACCUCAUCAUCCGCAACCUCCCCCUGUUCCUCUCCGACACCGCUCGCGCCUGGUUGGAGCACCUGCCUCCGGGGCAGAUCUCCAACUGGGACGACCUAGUCCAAGCUUUCGCCGGCAAUUUCCAGGGCACGUACGUGCGCCCCGGGAAUUCCUGGGACCUCCGAAGCUGCCGGCAGCAGCCGGGAGAGUCCCUCCGGGACUACAUCCGGCGAUUCUCGAAGCAGCGCACCGAGCUGCCCAACAUCACCGACUCGGAUGUCAUCGGCGCGUUCCUCGCCGGCACCACCUGCCGCGACCUGGUGAGCAAGUUGGGUCGCAAGACCCCCACCAGGGCGAGCGAGCUGAUGGACAUCGCCACCAAGUUCGCCUCUGGCCAGGAGGCGGUCGAGGCAAUCUUCCGAAAGGACAAGCAGCCCCAGGGCCACCCAUCGGAAGAUGCUCCCGAGGCGUCUAUUCAGCGCGGCGCCAAGAAGAAAGGCAGGAAGAAAUCGCAAGCGAAACGCGCCGCCGUCGACGCGGACCUUGUCGCUGCCGCCGAGUACAAGAACCCUCGGAAGCCCCCCGGAGGUGCCAACCUCUUCGACAAGAUGCUCAAGGAGCCGUGCCCCUAUCAUCAGGGGCCCGUCAAGCACAUCCUUGAGGAGUGCGUCAUGCUUCGGCACCACUUCCAUAGGGCCGGGCCACCCGCGGAGGGUGGCAGGGCCCGCGACGACGACAAGAAGGAAGAUCACCAAGCGGGAGAGUUCCCCGAGGUCCGCGACUGCUUCAUGAUCUACGGUGGGCAUGCGGCGAAUCCCUCGGCUCGGCAUCGCAAGCAAGAGCGCCGGGAGGUCUGCUCGGUGAAGGUGGCGGCGCCAGUCUACCUAGACUGGUCCGACAAGCCCAUCACCUUCGACCAAGCCGACCACCCCGACCACGUGUCGAGCCCGGGGAAAUACCCGCUCGUCGUCGACCCCGUCAUCGGCGACGUCAGGCUCACCAAGGUCCUUAUGGACGGAGGCACCAGCCUCAACAUCAUCUACGCCGAGACCCUCGGGCUCCUGCGUGUUGAUCUGUCCUCCGUCCGGGCAGGCGCUGCGCCCUUCCAUGGGAUUAUUCCCGGGAAGCGCGUCCAGCCCCUCGGACGACUCGACCUUCCCGUCUGCUUCGGAACGCCCUCCAACUUCCGAAGGGAGACUCUGACGUUCGAGGUGGUCGGGUUUCGAGGAACCUACCACGCGGUACUGGGAAGGCCAUGCUACGCGAAGGUCAUGGUCGUCCCCAACUACACCUACCUGAAGCUCAAGAUGCCGGGCCCCAACGGGGUCAUCACCGUCGGCCCCACGUACAAGCACGCGUUCGAAUGCGACGUGGAGUGCGUUGAGUACGCCGAGGCCCUCGCGAAUCCGAGGCCCUCAUCGCCGACCUGGAAAGCCUCUCCAAAGAGGUGCCAGACGUGAAGCAUCACGCCGGCAACUUCGAGCCAGUGGAGACGGUUAAGGCCGCCCCCCUCGACCUCAGUGGCGACACCUCCAAGCAGAUCCGGAUCGGCUCCGGGCUCGACCCCAAAUAGGAAGCAGUGCUCGUCGACUUUCUCCGCGCCAACGCCGACGUCUUCGCGUGGAGUCCCUCGGACAUGCCUGACAUACCGAGGGAUGUCGCCGAGCACUCGCUGGACAUUCGAGCCGGAGCCCGACCCGUCAAGCAGCCUCUGCGUCGAUUCGACGAGGAGAAGCGCAGAGCGAUAGGCGAGGAAAUCCACAAGCUAAUGGCAGCAGGGUUCAUCAAAGAGGUAUUCCAUCCCGACUGGCUUGCCAACCCUGUGCUUGUGAGAAAGAAAGGGGGGAAAUGGCGGAUGUGUGUAGACUACACUGGUCUCAACAAAGCAUGUCCGAAGGUUCCCUACCCUCUGCCUCGCAUCGAUCAGAUCGUGGAUUCCACUGCUGGGUGCGAGACCCUGUCUUUCCUCGAUGCCUACUCAGGGUAUCAUCAAAUCAGGAUGAAAGAGUCCGACCAGCUCGCGACCUCUUUCAUCACGCCCUUCGGCAUGUACUGCUAUGUCACCAUGCCGUUCGGCUUGAGGAAUGCGGGUGAGACGUACCAGCGGUGCAUGAACCAUGUGUUCGGCGAACACAUUGGCCGCACGGUCGAGGCCUACGUCGAUGACAUCGUAGUCAAGACGAGGAAAGCUUCCGACCUCCUUUCCGACCUUGAAGUGACAUUCUGGUGUCUCAAGGCGAAAGGGGUCAAGCUCAAUCCCGAGAAGUGUGUCUUCGGGGUGCCCCGAGGCAUGCUCUUGGGGUUCAUCGUCUCCGAGCGGGGCAUCGAAGCCAACCCGGAGAAGAUUGCAGCCAUCACCAGCAUGGGGCCCAUCAAGGACUUGAAAGGUGUACAGAGGGUCAUGGGAUGCCUCGCGGCUCUGAGCCGCUUCAUCUCACGCCUCGGCGAAAGAGGUCUGCCUCUAUACCGCCUCUUAAGGAAGGCCGAGUGCUUCACUUGGACCCCUGAGGCCGAGGAAGCUCUCGGGAACUUGAAGGCGCUCCUCACAAAGGCGCCUAUCUUGGUGCCUCCAGCUGCCGGAGAAGCCCUCUUGGUCUACGUCGCCGCGACCACUCAGGUGGUCAGCGCCGCGAUUGUGGUCGAGAGGCAAGAAGAGGGGCAUGCAUUGCCCGUUCAGAGGCCAGUUUACUUCGUCAGCGAGGUACUGUCCGAAACCAAUAUCCGCUACCCACAAGUUCAGAAGCUGCUGUAUGCGGUGAUCCUGACGCGGCAGAAGUUGCGACACUACUUCGAGUCUCAUCCGGUAACUGUGGUGUCAUCCUUCCCCCUGGGGGAGAUCAUCCAGUGCCGAGAGGCCUCGAGCAGGAUUGCAAAGUGGGCGGUGGAAAUCAUGGGCGAGACAAUCUCGUUCGCCCCUCGGAAGGCCAUCAAGUCUCAGGUCUUGGCGGACUUCAUAGCCGAAUGGGUCGAUACCCAGCUACCGACGGCUCCGAUCCAACCGGAACCCUGGACCAUGUUUUUCGACGGGUCGCUGAUGAAGACGGGAGCCGGCGCGGGCCUACUCUUCAUCUCGCCCCUCAAGAAACACCUACACUAUGUGCUACGCCUCCAUUUCCCGGCGUCCAACAAUGUGGCUGAGUAUGAGGCUCUGGUCAAUGGGUUGCGGAUCGCGAUCGAGCUAAGGGUCCGGCGCCUUGACGCCCGCGGUGACUCGCAGCUCGUCAUCGACCAAGUCAUGAAGAACUCCCACUGCCGCGACCCGAAGAUGGAGGCCUACUGUGAUGAGGUUCGGCGCCUGGAAGACAAGUUCUACGGGCUCGAGCUUAACCACAUCGCUCGGCGCUACAACGAGACUGCGGACGAGCUGGCUAAAAUAGCCUCAGGGCGAACAACGGUUCCCCCGGACGUCUUCUCCCGGGAUCUGCAUCAACCCUCCGUCAAGAUCGACAACCCGCCCGGGCCUGAGGCGCCCUCGACCCAGUCCGAGGUACCCUCGGUCCAGCCCGAGGUAUCCUCGGCACAGCCCGAGGCACCCUCAGUUCGGCCCGAGGCGCCUUCAGUUCAGCCCGAGGUACCCUCGGCCUCCGAGGGUGAGGCGCUGCGCAUCGAGGGGGAGCAAAGUGGGGCCACGCCUGAUCGAAACUGGCAGACCCCGUACCUGCAAUAUCUCCAACAAGGAGAGCUACCCCUCGACCGGGUCGAGGCUCGCCGGGUGGCACGGCGUGUCAAGUCAUUCGUCUUGCUGGGCGAUGAGAAGGAGCUCUACCACCACAGCCCCUCAGGCAUCCUCCAGCGAUGCAUCUCCGUCGCCGAAGGUCAGGAACUCCUGCGGGAGAUACACUCGGGGGCUUGCGGCCAUCACGCAGCACCUCGAGCCCUUGUCGGGAAUGCUUUCCGACAAGGAUUCUACUGGCCGACGGCGGUGGCCGACGCCACUAGAAUCGUCCGCACCUGCGAAGGAUGUCAAUUCUAUGCGAAGCAGACCCACCUGCCCGCUCAGGCUCUGCAGACGAUACCCAUCACCUGGCCCUUUGUUGUGUGGGGUCUGGACCUCGUCGGCCCCUUACAGAAGGCGCUCGGGGGCUACACGCACCUGCUGGUCGCCAUCGACAAAUUCUCCAAGUGGAUCGAGGUCUGACCUCUGAACAGCAUCAGGUCCGAGCAGGCGGUGGCGUUCUUCACCAACAUCAUCCAUCACUUCGGGGUCCCGAACUCCAUCAUCACCGACAACGGCACCCAGUUCACCGGUAGAAAGUUCUUGGACUUCUGCGAGGAUCACCACAUCCGGGUGGACUGGGCCGCCGUGGCUCAUCCCAUGUCAAAUGGGCAAGUAGAGCGUGCCAACGGCAUGAUUCUACAAGGGCUCAAGCCUCGGAUUUACAACGACCUCAACAAGUUCGGCAAACGAUGGAUGAAGGAACUCCCCUCGGUGGUCUGGAGCCUGAGGACCACGCCGAGCCGAGCCACGGGUUUCACGCCGUUCUUCCUAGUCUACGGGGCCGAGGUCGUCUUGCCCACAGACCUGGAAUAUGGCUCCCCGAGGACGAGGGCCUACAGCGAUCAAAGCAACCAAGUCAGCCGAGAAGACUCGCUGGACCAGCUGGAAGAGGCUCGGGACAAGGCCUUACUACACUCGGCGCGGUACCAGCAGUCCCUGCGACGCUACCACGCCCGAGGGGUCCGGUCCCGAGACCUCCAGGUAGGCGACCUGGUGCUUCGGCUGCGACAAGACCCCCGAGGGAGGCACAAGCUCACGCCCCCCUGGGAGGGACCGUUCGUCAUCGCCAAGGUUCUGAAGCCCGGAACGUACAAGCUGGCCAACAGCCAAGGCAAGGUCUACGGCAACGCUUGGAACAUCCAACAGCUACGUCGCUUCUACCCUUAAAAUAUUUUCAAGUCGUUCAUAUACCUCGCACCCACGCAAAGUUUAGUCAUCAAGGAAGGGUCGGCCUCGCCUCGGCAAAGCCCGACCCUCCCUCGGGGGCUAAAAGGGGGGCAACCCCCUCUGCGUCGAAAUUUUCCUCGAAAAAAUAUCUCUUCUGCCAGAAUAUCUUUCGUGCUUUUUGACUACUUCGAAAAUUGGAUCCUGAAAACGACGGAGUACAUGUAAGCAGCCAAGGCUGACCGAGCCGAGGGACUCCUACGCCUCCGGGAUACGGAUACCUCACUCAUCACCUUCUACGAUAAGUGACUCGCGUUCCGAUAAGUGAUUCCACAGACCGAACAAGUCUUCACGUUUGGAAGCUCUUCUGCCAAAGCGAUCCUUCGAGCCUUCUCGACUGAGUCGGUGACAGAGCCUCAUGGACGGGUGAAAGUGCGUGUAAGCGGUAAGGCCGACCGAGCCGAGGGACUCCCACGCCUCCGGGAUACGGAUACCUCACUCAUCACCUUCCGUGAGAAGCAACUCUCGCUCGCACAAACAUCCCUGUUGCCGACAAAAAAGUCCAGAUACUUGAAACAAGAGGAAAAGAGACGCGGCUUUACAACGCAGCGAGGGUGUGUGUUCUGGCCUCGGCGGCCGCAGAAGGCACACGCUACAAGACAAUCUGAUCCUGCAGGCUCGGGUCUUGACACUGGAAGGGGGCAGCAGCACCCUCGGCAUCGACGACACCUUCGGCGAGGUCCGACCUAGCCUCGGACGGCAACGCGGUCCAAGGAUCUCCGCUCUAAGGGACGACGCCAUCGCCACGCCCGGGCAAUUGCUGCCUGGGUCUUCUCCGGAAAUCUGGCCCGAGCAGGCGGCUCGGCCGGUCGCUCCGGGGCCUUGGCCAACCAUCUUCCAAGGGCGCCGGCUCGACCCGAGGCCUCGGCUGAUCAACUCCGGCGUCGGUCCCGCCAGCGGACAACCCGGCUAGGCUCCGGCCAACCAGGUUUCAUUUUUGAGCCAACUCUGCCACUGUUCGUGCUGAUAUCGCUACCCCUGGCCUCGGCUUGUCGAGGAGUGGCCAAGGGGUCCAUUUAACUAAGCUAGAGAAGCCUUAGACAACAAGGCCGACCGAGCCGAGGGCCUCCUACGCCUCCGGGAUACGGAUACCUCACUCGUCACCUUGACACGGGGCGACUCACGCUUGGUGAAGCGGUUCAGACAACCAACAGGCAAGUCUUAGUGCUCGAAAAUGAGGAAAAAACACGGCUUCGUGCCAAAAUUACAUACAUGUUCAGGCCUCGACAGCCGCGAUGAACAAAAACAUUGGCAUUCAAAGUGCCAUUACAAAUGGAACUCCGGUUCCCCCUCCGCAGGGACGAACAACCCCACUCCAUGGGGGAGGGCCUGCGGAGCAACGGAAGACUGACGGGCGGCUCGCCGCCGCCCGCUCUGACAGCGACGACAACGACCCCCGCUCCGGGUGGCCGAACUGCAGCGGCGCAGGCCUCGGGGUGGGCGCUGCUGCAAUCUUGCCCUCACCCACGCCGACGCUCGAGGGGCGAGGACAAGUACAAAGAGCCGGAGGCCCGAAGCGCGGAUGGUGGCGGUGACCCCGUCGGCGACGGGGACUUCUCGAGCCGCCUCCACCUUGGCACCGGCGCCAGAAGCCAUCAGCCCUCUGGCAGAUCCCCACUCAAAUCCUCCCGGACGAGUGGGGCACCGAUCCCCGCGCGGAGGUGCCAUACCAGUGCAAAGGCAGGACCACCCCAGAACACGAACGCCGCCCUAGCAGCGUGCGGCGUCUUGGGCGGUCCUUCCGUGCACACGGCGCGGCAGCCGCCUUCCGGCAGGAGGGGCCGCCAGGGGCCAAGCCGACGAGCUCGAUACGCUGGGGGUGACGACGCCCGCCGUCGACCAGCCCCGCGUUGUCGAAGUCCGGGCCGCCCGCAGGGACAGCGAGCGCCCUCUCCCUCGAACGUCGCAGGAGAGGGCGACCCACGAACCCGCGCGGGAGGUAGAGCUCCGGCUCAGCCCGGCCUCCACCCCAGCGAGGAUGAUGAACAUCCUAGAAGCUGAGGGUGGGACCAAGAUCGUAGCCCGGCUUGCUUCUCCCCACCCAGGGGCUGGUGGUCACCGUCUUGGGUGACCGCCGGCGGAGGGGUGCAGCCAGGUUGCAUGAUGAAAAUCCUUGAAGCCGAACGAUGGCUGAAAGGUACCAACUCCCACGGAGUUGCGUUCCUCCAACGAUGGGGCAAAAAGACAGCGGGUAUCCCCCAUCCGGGGGCUUGGAAGGUGGAAAGACACGAUGCAUAAGGGCGCGCGAAGACAUGGUCGCCUUCCAAGGGGGUCACCCUCCUUUUAAAGACGACUAUCCCUACUCGCGUCCUCAGCCGUCACGGGCUGAGUCUUCUCCAACACGCUCCAAGGCCCUCCUCUGCGGCACGGGGGCCGGGUCCCACAUGUCAUGCAAGCCGCCUCAGAGCAGAAGAAGCCAAACCGCCACGCGCGGUACACACGACCGCCCAGCGGUUACAAGUGACCCUCCACUUUUGCCCAGACCAACGGGCGAAAGGAGCGGGCAGCCAUGCGGGCGGCAUGCAACCGCGCUACGUGGGCACGCUUCUCCGACUCCCGACACGCCCAGCAUGGAGGCCCAGGCCCACGCGUCACGCAACCGGCGCGCCGGAUGCUUCAUGCAAGAAACUGCACCGCCACUUGCGCCACCGCCACGCCUCCUCGAUUGCGGAACCAAUACCGCGACUCGAGGCGACCCAGCGCACGACCCAGCAGUGCCAGCCUGGCGCGGCGGUCAAUGCGGUCAAAAAUGGGCCGGCAGUAAUGACGCUGGAAGGCGGGCGGGAGCAGCGGUCACGUCGUCAGCCAAGCUCACGUCCCAUCCGGGGGCAGCAAGAGAACCCCCUCUCAUGGCGUGAACACAACGCGCCCGUGACCCGUUCCUCGAACGGUUCGCGCACGCACAACGGCCGCCCCGCCAACCACUCGCCCCAUCGCAUUAACUCCGCGGCGGGACAGGCGGCGCCUCUGGCAGGAGAAGCGGGCGACGCUUCGCCUUCGCCAUAAUAACGCACCAAAAAAGGUACGCCAUGUCGUUCGAUUUCGUAUCCUUUUCCUUUUUUCCUCUUUCUCUCUCUCUCUUGCAACAGGGACCGGGAAAGGGGGAUACCCCGAAAAGGAUCCUUCCCUGUGAAGGAACCGGGCUCCGAGCCUCCCUACUGAUCAGAGGUUCGAAGGCUGGCCCCCCGAAGGGUUCAACAGCCGCCUCAGAUCGCGUGGGGCCUACACCCACUACUGGUCAGAGGUUCGAAGGCCGGCCCCCCGAAGGGUUCCACGGUCGCCUCAGGCUACUCGGGCUCCGCGCCCAUUACUGAUCAGGGGUUCGAAGGCUGGCCCCCGAAGGAUUCACAGCCGCCUCAUACGCCGAGCGAGGGAUGACCAGGGGUACGUUCUAUACAUAACCAAGGCUCGGGCUGCGCUCCCGAGGUACCCUAGGACAUUUCCGAGACCAGCGGGAGCGAUCUUGUAACGGAAUCCCAUCGGAGGGAGGCAUCGAGCCCUCGGACCCCGUCGCCAGGGGACCGGGUCCAGCAGAUCACCCGCAGGUACUUUUGGGCGUGCCUCUAGGCCCCUAGCCGACCCCUAACGAACGGGGCACGGACGUCCACUCGGAUUACCCGCUUGCAGCUCACCGGAGACACCAUGUUCGGCGCCCAUCGAGGGCAACAUGGCGCUUUCCCCCCCUCCUCCUUGCGAAAAGGCGACGCAGGGGCGUAUGUAAAAAAGCCGAGUCUGUCCCUGAUCGCCCUCUCGCCCUGUGCAGAGGCUCGGGGGCUGCUCUCGCAAACCUGGCUCCGGCCGAACCGUUGACAGCGUCAACAUACCAGCCCGAGAACUUGGGACCCGACCGUACACCCGGGCUACGGCCAGCUCGCAUGAGGGAACAACCAGACUAGCCGAAGCAUUACACGAGGCAUUAAGACCUCGAAGGAGUGAAACCACUCCUCCGAGGCCUCGGGGGCUACACCCGGCGGGUGCGCUCGCGCGCACCCACCGGAACAAAAUGCAACCGAGAAAGGCUGGUCCCCUUGCAAAAAAGUGCGACGAAAGCCUCCAAGCGAGUGCUAACACUCCCUUCGAGGAUCGGGGGCUACUGUCGGGGACCAUAAUUAGGGGUACCCUCAAGGCUCCUAAUUCUCAGCUGGUAACCCCCAUCAGCAUAAAGCUGCUAAGGCCUGAUGGGUGCGAUUAAGUCAGGGAUCAGUCCGUUCGAGCGACUCGAUCACGCCUCGCCCGAGCCUAGCCUCGGACAAGGGCAGCCGACCCCGGAGGAUUUUCGUCUCGCCCGAGGCCCCCCUCCGACGGAGAACAUAUUUCCGGCUUGCCCGAGGCCCUGCCUUCGCUAAGAAGCAACCCUGACCAAAUCGCCGCACCGACCGACCAAAUCGCAGGAGCAUUUAAUGCAAAGGUGGCCUGACAGGCAGUUAGGUCCUGCAGAAGGCACCACAGGAAACUCCGCUCCGCCCGACCCAGGGCUCAGACUCGGGCUAAGUCCCGGAAGACGGCGAACUCCGCUCCGCCCGACCCAGGGCUCGGACUCGGGCUAAGUCUCGGAAGACGGCGAACUCUGCUCCGCCCGACCCAGGGCUCGGACUCAGGCUAAGUCCCGGAAGACGGAGAACUCCGCUCCGCCCGACCCAGGGCUCGGACUCGGGCUAAGUCCCGGAAGACGGCGAACUCCGCUCCGCCCGACCCAGGGCUCGGACUCGGGCUAAGUCCCAGAAGACGGCGAACUCCGCUCCGCCCGACCCAGGGCUCGGACUCGGGCUAAGUCCCGGAAGACGGCGAACUCCGCUCCGCCCGACCCAGGGCUCGGACUCGGGCUAAGUCCCGGAAGACGGCGAACUCCGCUCCACCCGACCCCAGGGCUCGGACUCCGCCCUGGCCUCAGACGACGACCUCCGCCUCGCCCGACCAGGGGCUCGGCCUCGGCCACGGAAGACAGACUCGACCUCAGCAUCGGAGGAGCUUCCACCUCGCCCAACCUAGGGCGCAGACCAGCCACGUCAACGGGAGGCGCCAUCAUCACCCUACCCCGAGCUGACUCGGGCCGCAGGAAACAAGACCGGCGUCCCAUCUGGCUAGCUCCGCCGGAUAGGCAAUGAUGGCGUCCCGCAUGCUCUGUGACGACGACGACUCUCAGCCCCCUUACAGAAGCAAGAGGACGUCAGCAAGGACCCAACCGCUCCGACAGCUGUCCCUCCGCCAGGCUCCAUCGCUCCUCCGACGGCCACGACAUCACACCAGCUGGGUGCCAAAACCUCUCCGGCUGCCACGACGGCAUGUACUCAGGGCGCUAGCUCUCCCCCGCUAGACACGUAGCACUCUGCUACACUCCCAUUGUACGCCUGGAUCCUCUCCUUACGCCUAUAAAAGGAAGGACCAGGGCCCUCUUAGAGAGGGUUGGCCGCGCGAGGACGAGGACGAGACAGGCGCUCUCUUGGGGCCGCUCGCUUCCCUCUCCCGCGUGGACGCUUGUAACCCCCUACUGCAAGCGCACCUGACCUGGGCGCGGGACGAACACGAAGGCCGCGGGAUUCCCACCUCUCUCACGCCGGUCUCCGGCCGCCUCGCUCCUCCCCCCUUCGCGCUCGCCCUCGCGCUCGACCCAUCUAGGCUGGGGCACGCGGCGACACUCACUCGUCGGCCCAAGGGACCCCCCGGUCUCGGAACGCCGACAAGUAGUCAAUCGAGCCACUGGUGAGUAGGUAUCAAAGAAAUCUUCACCCUCCUUUUGGGUAUAUCCUUUGGCCACAAGUCUUGUCUUGUACCUCUCGAUUGUACCACAGCUAUUAUGUUUUUGGAUUGUUAGAAUUAUAGGCAUUUUCCAUAUUAUUUUAAUUCCAUAAAUUAACAUUAUGAUGAUGGCAUAUAAAAGAUAAUUAGAAAUCGUGAUACCAAAUAUAUCCAUAACAAUAUGGAUCAUGUGAACAUAAAGCAUAUGAAUCAUAUAAAUAUAAUAAGCAUAUAAACAUGGUACAUGUAUUAUGAUGAAACAACUGAAAAUAAACAGAUAGCAAUAUAAACAGCAUGACUGUAAAAUUAAAACGAACAGAUAUAACAUAUUAUAAUAUGACAGAACAGAUGAGAUAAAUUCAUGACUACAUAUGAAACAGUAGAGAUGAAUAUAUGAAACAUAUAUAAUCUGCAGAACGCAAAACAGUAAGGAGAUAAAUUGAUCAUACCCUCCCAUGCGCUCUGAGGAUCUAGAUCCUUGUCCAGCUUCUCUUGUCAGGUCGCGCAGGAAGAAGAAGAUGUUUUGGGCAGUCACGUAGACGCUCCCCAAAAACCUAAUUGUCGAUCCCCCGUGCAAGGUCUCGAACGGCACCGGCUUCAGAGGCACCUGCCCUCUCGCUUCUCUAUGCGCGCAGAAUUACGAGAUGGAUACACCCACACUUGCGGCUGGACCGUGAUUCUGAAGGAUUCUGCUCUCGUGUCCCAAAUGACAGGGGUUCUCCCCUACUUAACCUUUCGCGGAAGGAAGCUGAAGGAGAAGGGUCGCAUGCGGCACACCAAGAGAUGGGCAGCUAGACAGGUUCCCGUGGUUAAUGAGUGCUAAAAAUUAACACAACCACACCACGUCUGCUCGCCUGUCUACCUCGCCCGAGCCCGGCCGGCGGCGACGGCGCGCGCGUGUGGCACGCCCUUGUACGUUUCUUGACUUCCCAAAUUAAGUGGAAUAAUUCCCACCAUAUAAGUCAAGCCAAUGACCCUUGGACUUCCAAUAUGGUACUAUUGGUAUUCUCCACCAUUACACACCAUAAAGUUUAUUGAAUAAAUAGGCCAAGCCCAUAAAAGAUCCAACACUUCUUUCCUACGCAGUUCCAAGGAGAAGCCCACUCUUGGGUAAGACUCUUGUGCUUAUACAAUAAAGCUCACACGCAGUGUGCCUUAGGUUGUUUAGUAUUGUCCUUUCAGCUGUUGAUGUGUUGCUUAGUCAUAUUGAUGCAUUACUGUUACUGGCAUCAUAGCAUGGAUAUGUAGUGAUAAUUUGCACUUUGAGGAGAUAAACACUUUGCUUAUAAAUAUGAUCCUGAGCUUUGACGCAAGAUAUUGGAUCAUUAGCUAGAUUGUAGCUUGGUUGCAUUACCAAUGCUUUUAAUUAGGACUAGGAAUUUGGUUACCCGAAAAAAUUGGGUCGUGUAAUUCAGUUGAAUAAAAAUUCGGGUAUUAAAAAUUGCUACUCGAUUCUUGUCCUAAAAAUUACCCGAAAUUUUGGGUACCCGAUAAUUCGGGUUUGGUUCUUGUUUUACACGACAACCGAUAUACUCAAAAUUGAUAAAACCAUCCAUUUUUAGUAGCAUUUAAAGCAUUAAACAAUAAUUCUUCAAAUCACGUCGUGUGUUUAUCUUAAUUAAGAACAAACCAAUUAUUAAGUUAGCAUAAAUAUAUAUUAAUUUGUUUCAAAAAUAUAUUUAUUGCACUAAACUACUUCUUGUCUUUAUAUUUCAGGUAAUAUUUGAGACAUUUCGGCUAAUUCGGGUAGUUCAUGUAAUGGGUAACAUUACCUGAACUACCCAAACCAAAUCUGGGUUUCUAGAAUUGCUAUCCAAAAUUAUGAUCGGGUAAUUCGGGUUCAGGUAGUUUGGAUC
rnacentral:lncRNA from 1 species